rnacentral:rRNA from 1 species
AACGAACGCUGGCGGCAGGCUUAACACAUGCAAGUCGAACGCCCCGCAAGGGGAGUGGCAGACGGGUGAGUAACGCGUGGGAACAUACCCUUUUCUACGGAAUAGCUCUGGGAAACUGGAAUUAAUACCGUAUACGCCCUACGGGGGAAAGAUUUAUCGGGGAAGGAUUGGCCCGCGUUGGAUUAGCUAGUUGGUGGGGUAAAGGCCUACCAAGGCGACGAUCCAUAGCUGGUCUGAGAGGAUGAUCAGCCACAUUGGGACUGAGACACGGCCCAACCUCCUACGGGAGGCAGCAGUGGGGAAUAUUGGACAAUGGGCGCAAGCCUGAUCCAGCCAUGCCGCGUGAGUGAUGAAGGCCUUAGGGUUGUAAAGCUCUUUCACCGAUGAAGAUAAUGACGGUAGUCGGAGAAGAAGCCCCGGCUAACUUCGUG